UCCAUGGUUACUAUAGUUUCAACUCCCAGGUCAAGUGGGAUCUCAACCUAAAAUAUAGCCGGAAAAAUGAAACAGCACAGAAAUAAAAACACUCUGGGCCCAUUUCUCAGAUUGCCAGAUUAAAAGGAAAAUAAGAAAGUUUAAAAGUGGGAGAGAAAGAUAUCUUCGUUUCUUGUUUCAUUUUAUGGAGCCAAUGUUGUAUUUGAUCACUAUUAUAAGGAGGUUUUGUUUCAUUGCAAAAAAGAUUGAACCAAGAAGGGCAAGAGCAUACCCUGGAGGAAGGAAAACGGAAAAGUGUAACCUGACAGAAGCAAAUGACUAGAAAACAACCAAAUAUCAGACUACUAUUUAAAAAGCUCUUUUCAAGAUAAACUCUCAGGUCUUCUUACACAAAAUCAUCUUUUUAUUGUGCUAUGUCAUAGAAACGCUUGUUUAAUUCCAUAAACUAAAAAGUAAAUUAAAUGAAGUGAAUUAAAAAUUAAAUAAUAAAAAGAAACCUGCA